CUUGGAGGUUCUCAUCCUUGUCCUGUUGUGGAAAAAAAACACCCUGUUCUUGGAAUCCUAAGGAGACCUCCAGACAUAUGUGGGUGGUAAAGUCUACCAUAAAUCUGGCAUUUCCAAACAAGUCCUCUAUCUACUUUUCAUCCAUGUGUUCAUGAAGCUUCAGGUUAAGUGAAAUAUGUCAGUCACUAAAUAGUAAAAACAAAAACAAAUCGCCAAUUUACCCACGUUGGGAUGACUCCUGGGUUUCAAAAUCAAAUAAUUGGACCGAGAAGCAAA
rnacentral:lncRNA from 1 species